AGAGGGAAACAACCCAGACUACCAGCUAAGGUCCCUAAAUCUUACUUAAGUGGAAAACGAUGUGAAGUUACUUAAACAACCAGGAGGUUGGCUUAGAAGCAGCCAUCCUUUAAAGAAAGCGUAAUAGCUCACUGGUCUAGUGAUUUUGCGCGGAAAAUAUAACGGGGCUAAAGUAAGUACCGAAGCUGUAGACUUGCGCACAACUUAGAUUAUUUAAGUUUAGAAUAUGAGAAACUAAGUUAUAUGUUUAGUUAUAUUUUUACUGAUUUUUAUAGAGUAAAGAUAGAAAUAAAACUUAGUAAAAUCAGUAAAAAUAUUCUUAGACUAAAGUUAAGUAGUUUAAGUUGUGUGCAAGUGGUAGGAGAGCGUUCUAUUUGCGUCGAAGGUAUACCGGUAAGGAGUGCUGGAGCGAAUAGAAGUGAGCAUGCAGGCAUGAGUAGCGAUAAUUAAUGUGAGAAUCAUUAACGCCGUAAACCCAAGGUUUCCUACGCGAUGCUCGUCAUCGUAGGGUUAGUCGGGUCCUAAGUCGAGUCCGAAAGGGGUAGACGAUGGCAAAUUGGUUAAUAUUCCAAUACCAACAUUAGUGUGCGAUGGAAGGACGCUUAGGGCUAAGGGGGCUAGCGGAUGGAAGUGCUAGUCUAAGGUCGUAGGAGGUUAUACAGGCAAAUCCGUAUAACAAUACUCCGAGAACUGAAAGGCUUUUUGAAGUCUUCGGAUGGAUAGAAGAACCCCUGAUGCCGUCGAGCCAAGAAAAGUUUCUAAGUUUAGCUAAUGUUGCCCGUACCGUAAACCGACACAGGUGGGUGGGAUGAGUAUUCUAAGGCGCGUGGAAGAACUCUCUUUAAGGAACUCUGCAAAAUAGCACCGUAUCUUCGGUAUAAGGUGUGGUUCGCUUCGUAUUAGGAUUUACUCCGAAAGCGAAGAAACUUACAACAAAGAGUCCCUCCCGACUGUUUACCAAAAACACAGCACUCUGCUAACUCGUAAGAGGAUGUAUAGGGUGUGACGCCUGCCCGGUGCUCGAAGGUUAAUUGAUGGGGUUAGCAUUAGCGAAGCUCUUGAUCGAAGCCCGAGUAAACGGCGGCCGUAACUAUAACGGUCCUAAGGUAGCGAAAUUCCUUGUCGGUUAAAUACCGACCUGCAUGAAUGGCGUAACGAGAUGGGAGCUGUCUCAAAGAGGGAUCCAGUGAAAUUGUAGUGGAGGUGAAAAUUCCUCCUACCCGCGGCAAGACGGAAAGACCCCGUGGACCUU
rnacentral:rRNA from 1 species